GGGGCGCAGCACGUGGCAGGGAGAGGCACGGACGUGCUCCCCCGAGUGAAGCUGCCGCGGGUAUGUCCCGGGGAGUGCGCGGCGCGCCAGCCUGCCUGACGCACGAUGGGUUGAGUGCCCAGGCGGCGAGGGCAGGCCGGGGUCUGUAUUUUUGGUUUAUUUACAUGUUUCGUGCCGGAACAUCGUGCGGGGGUGCAGAAGGGGGCGUGGAGGGACAGGCACGGGGGGCGGCACCGAGGGGGGGCAGGGGCGCCCGGCUGCCCUGGCAUACUGCCGGCUUUCUCAGUGGUCAUCUGAACAUUUCGACUCGAAGCGCCGCCGCCGCCGCUGCCCCUCCGCUGCUGGCUACCUUGCACGGAGCGGGCAUCAGUUAGCCCUAGUUAUCUCCCGCGGCCGGUGCGCUGUGACCCUCGCUGCCGCCCAGCCCUCGUGCCCACAGCGAGGCCCCGCGACUCCCUCAGGGCCCGCCACUCCCCGCUACCCCCACGGCCCCGACACACCGGAGGAGGACGUCCAUUGGUCCGCUGCUUGCAACCUCCCCGGGGGAAGGUGUGACAGUGAAAGGUGCGGUGCGAUCGGCAGAAUCAGUGUGUUUGGGAACAAUGAAGGAGGCACAUAGACGCUGCUGCCGCCGCUGUCUGGUGCCCACAUAGCGUUCCCACGACGACUAACUCGCUGCUCCCCGACCUACGGCAGGCUGAGGCUCCUGCUGCCCCUGUGCCCUUGGAGGACAAACCGGGGCAGGCAGGCAGGCAGGCCAGUGAAGACAGCUCCGUGGCCUGCAGUGAGCCGUGUGACCUGCAGCCUCUGUGAGACGUGUGGAGACAGGAGACCGCCGGCUAGUGGAAGGAGAAGGCCAGCCGCCCUCCACCUCCAUCCACCCUCCAUCCUCCACCUCCAUCCACCCGCCACACACCCACAGUGGCAACAGUUCAGCGAGGCGGCGACUGUGUUUGCUGAGAGAGAGAAAAAUCUAAAAGUUAGUAGUGUCGAAUAUCUUGAAUCUGUGAGGCUGGCCAGUAGUGGAGAGAAAAGUCGUGCUGUGCCGAUGUGUUGAGUGUGCUGUGUAGUGCCGAGGAGAUUGUGUUGCUGCUGUGUUGUUCUUGUUGUUGUAUUUGUGUUGUGCCGCUACAGGGAGGGCCCAGGGCUGCCCCAAACCCUGCCCCCCCCCCUCCGACACACGACCAUGCCCCACUGACGGCGCCCAACAUGAGGUACGUGUACGUGUGUGUGUACGUGUGUGCGUGUGUGUGUGUACGUCUUCAAGGUGCGGCCCGUCAUGUAUGUGUUCUCUCCACCUGAUUCUCUGUCGCCUCCUCCUCCACCUCCUCCACCUCCCUCCUCCACCUCCUCCUCCCGCCAGGUGUUGCGCAGGUGAGUAUGCUAAUUAACCUUUCGUCCCCCAUUGCACCUGUAUACCUGGGUCUCAUUCUCGUGCUAGACUCGUUUCACUCUCAUCACUUUCGCUUUU